rnacentral:rRNA from 1 species
AGGACGAACGCUGGCGGCGUGCUUAACACAUGCAAGUCGAACGAGGAUCAGGGAGAGCUUGCUUGAACUGAUUCGAGUGGCGGACGGGUGAGUAACGCGUGAAUAAUCUGUCCCAUACAGGGGGAUAACGCAUCGAAAGAUGUGCUAAUACCGCGUAGGACCACGGGGUCGCAUGGCUCUGAGGUGAAAGGAGCAAUCCAGUAUGGGGUGAGUUCGCGUCUGAUUAGAUAGUUGGUGAGGUAACGGCCCACCAAGUCAACGAUCAGUAGCCGACCUGAGAGGGUGAUCGGCCACAUUGGGACUGAGACACGGCCCAGACUCCUACGGGAGGCAGCAGUGGGGAAUAUUGGGCAAUGGGCGAAAGCCCUGACCCAGCAACGCCGCGUGAAGGAAGAAGGUUUUCGGAUUGUAAACUUCUGUCCUAUGUGAAGAGGAGUAGACGGUAGCAUAGGAGGAAGCCCCGGCUAACUACGUGCCAGCCGCCGC